UGGGGAAUAUUGCACAAUGGGCGCAAGCCUGAUGCAGCCAUGCCGCGUGUAUGAAGAAGGCCUUCGGGUUGUAAAGUACUUUCAGUCGGGAGGAAGGUGUCAAGGUUAAUAACCUUGGCAAUUGACGUUACCGACAGAAGAAGCACCGGCUAACUCCGUGCCAGCAGCCGCGGUAAUACGGAGGGUGCAAGCGUUAAUCGGAAUUACUGGGCGUAAAGCGCACACAGGCGGUUGAUUGAGUCAGAUGUGAAAUCCCCGGGCUUAACCCGGGAAUUGCAUCUGAUACUGGUCAGCUAGAGUCUUGUAGAGGGGGGUAGAAUUCCAUGUGUAGCGGUGAAAUGCGUAGAGAUGUGGAGGAAUACCGGUGGCGAAGGCGGCCCCCUGGACAAAGACUGACGCUCAGGUGCGAAAGCGUGGGGAGCAAACAGG
rnacentral:rRNA from 1 species